rnacentral:rRNA from 1 species
UAGGGAAUCUUCGGCAAUGGGGGCAACCCUGACCGAGCAACGCCGCGUGAGUGAAGAAGGUUUUCGGAUCGUAAAGCUCUGUUGUAAGAGAAGAACGAGUGUGAGAGUGGAAAGUUCACACUGUGACGGUAACUUACCAGAAAGGGACGGCUAACUACGUGCCAGCAGCCGCGGUAAUACGUAGGUCCCGAGCGUUAUCCGGAUUUAUUGGGCGUAAAGCGAGCGCAGGCGGUUAGAUAAGUCUGAAGUUAAAGGCUGUGGCUUAACCAUAGUACGCUUUGGAAACUGUUUAACUUGAGUGCAGAAGGGGAGAGUGGAAUUCCAUGUGUAGCGGUGAAAUGCGUAGAUAUAUGGAGGAACACCGGUGGCGAAAGCGGCUCUCUGGUCUGUAACUGACGCUGAGGCUCGAAAGCGUGGGGAGCAAACAGGAUUAGAUACCCUGGUAGGUCCACGCCGUAAACGAUGAGUGCUAGGUGUUAGACCCUUUCCGGGGUUUAGUGCCGUAGCUAACGCAUUAAGCACUCCGCCUGGGGAGUACGACCGCAAGGUUGA